GGAGAGAUGCCCGAGUGGUUAAAGGGGGCAGACUGUAAAUCUGUUGGCUAGCGCCUACGCUGGUUCAAAUCCAGCUCUCUCCA
rnacentral:tRNA from 1 species